GGCCAACCCAAAAUAGAAAUUAAUAUACAAUGAAUAAUACUAUAAAAUCAACUAUGACACUUAACAGGUGGCAAUCAACAAACAACAUAAACCAGUGACAGCAACACUAAAGUGAGUACUUAAUCGAUCAAAAUAUCAAACACAUAUGGGGACUCAUGCCUCCACACCACGCUCAUUUGGGAAAUGGGUUAUUUUAGAUCGAGUACAUUAAGUUAAUUCAAUAUCUUUUUCCUUUAAUGUUACCGUGUCGAAGCGUAACACUAC
rnacentral:misc_RNA from 1 species